GACGAACGCUGGCGGCGUGCUUAACACAUGCAAGUCGAACGGAAAGGCCCUGCUUUUGUGGGGUGCUCGAGUGGCGAACGGGUGAGUAACACGUGAGUAACCUGCCCUUGACUUUGGGAUAACUUCAGGAAACUGGGGCUCAUACCGGAUAGGAGCUCCUGCUGCAUGGUGGGGGUUGGAAAGUUUCGGCGGUUGGGGAUGGACUCGCGGCUUAUCAGCUUGUUGGUGGGGUAGUGGCUUACCAAGGCUUUGACGGGUAGCCGGCCUGAGAGGGUGACCGGCGACAUUGGGACUGAGAGACGGCCCAGACGCCUACGGGAGGCAACAGGGGGGAAUAUUGCACAAUGGGCGGAAGCCUGAUGCAGCAACGCCGCGUGCGGGAUGACGGCCUUCGGGGUGUAAACCGCUUUCGCCUGUGACGAAGCGUGAGUGACGGUAAUGGGUAAAGAAGCACCGGCUAACUACGUG
rnacentral:rRNA from 1 species